AGAUGUAUUGCAAGAGUAUUUUUCUGGCUUUGAUAUAUCCUUUAACCCUUCUUCCCCUUUUUCUGCUCCCUUCUCUCAAAGGGGAAUUCAAAAUGAGGGGAAAUAAGCCUAUUAAUUAAUGACUUUUUUUUCUGGUUUUCAAUGCUGAUUAUAAAAUCAAAAGAUUCUUCAUGAAAGGUUGUAUGAUUAUAUGAUUUCUAUUUACAGAGGUAGCAACAAGCUGAAAAAGAAUGGGAGAGAGAGAGAGAGAAUUUCUAAACAAUAAAGUUGUUACGACCAGGUGAAUCAAAGAUGCUAAACUUUUCCUGCUUUUUAUUUCACUAAAAGUAUUUGUUCAUUGAUGCCCAGUUUUGGGCUGCCUGUCUUCAUUAUGUCUUUAGUCUCUAGAAAAAAAGUGCCAGCAUCUUAACAUUUUCUAGGAGCAAAAUAGUAAUCUAAUAGGAAUUAAUAAUGCUAUUUAAAUUAGGUUGCUUUCCAGGGAGCUUAAAACGUCCGGAAUUAUAUUACAUUUAAAAAAAAAUCUCAUGUCCUUAGUAAACUACCUACUCUUCCUUGCAGACUUAACCAUUCUGAAAGCAUUUUCUUGUAAUUUUCAUGUAACACUCAAAACAAUUUAGUGAGGUAAUUAUUAACUUCCUUCUUACAGGUUUGAAGCAACUAGGGUUCAGAGAAAGUAAGUGAUUUGUCUGAGAUUAGAAAGCAAAUUUAUGACAUAAUCAAAACCGUCAGUAGAUUUACUCACAACCAGUCUGAACUCUUUUCCAUGUCAUAAGCAAGGAAAGGGUAAAGAGAGGAAGAAGAUUUUAGUGGCAGAAAUUGUGCUACCAUAAUAACAAGCAAGAAAACAUUGUCAUAAGAUUAAAAGUUGCAGGCACCCUGUCAGUUUCAUGAAUAUAUUUCUGGACAUUUUUUUGAGUAUUGAUCAGACAGACAAAAACUUCACAGAUUUCUGGGAACCCAAUACACCCAAUCUUGUCUGGCCAUGCCUAAAGAGAAACUAUCGCAAAAACCGCAAUUACUUUUGCACCAACCUCAAAGAAUGGUGGCGUUCAUGACUAUGGCCGUGC
rnacentral:lncRNA from 1 species